GAAACUUGAGUUGGAUAAAAAUACAACCACCACCGACAGAACAUAAAAAAAAAAAAAAAAAAAGGAAAAUGGGAAGGAAAGGGAUUUACUGCAACUGAAUCGUAAUGAUGGAUCAAAAAGUGGCCGUCUCAAUCUCCCUAUUUUCCACACUUGAAAAUAGGGAGACUGAAGAAAUGAAGCAGUGAUGAAACGGUGCCUUUUCAUCCACUGGACUAUCCCGCUUCUUCGCCCUCAGAAUCCUCUUUGCCUCUGCCAUGGCCUUCACUCUCUUCCUCUUCACCUCCCUCUUUCUUCUCGCCUUCGACACCGCCUCUUCCAAUUACGACAAUAUGGUUCAUAUGGAUUCGGAUCGACUCAGAGAUCAGUGCUUGCAGUCAAAUCCGAUCCUCUGAAGCCGUGACUUGAUCAGAUCCGAAAACAGGCGGAGGAUCACAAGUCUUUGGCACUGGCUUAUGCGUCCUACGCUCGCAAGCUGAAGCUUGAGAACUCGAAGCUAGUUAGGGUUUUUACGGAUCUCUCUCGGAAAUGAACUUAAUGGAGGAUUUCUGUGAUUGUAAAUGUGCUUUAAUUUAUUAGUUCCAAAUAUUGGUUGGGGAUUUGAAGGCGCGAUAUGAAUUUCUGGUUCGAAUGAUGGCUGUGAAUAUUUUGAGAGCUUCCCAUUUGGUUAUAUGUUAUCUACAAGCUUAAAGGUUGCUGAAUUUUAAUUGCUUCAAGUGUAGAAUUUCAUGAUGGAGACAAGGCUAUGGUUGGAGAGAAUGAGAAUUUUUUUUUUUAUUUGCUAAAAAUGGAGUUCUAUUCUUC